rnacentral:tRNA from 1 species
GGGUCGGUGCCCGAGUGGCCAAAGGGAGCGGGCUGUAAACCCGUCGGCUCAGCCUACGGAGGUUCGAAUCCUCCCCGGCCCACCA